UGGGCGAAAGCCUGACGGAGCAAUGCCGCGUGGAGGGGGAAGGCCUACGGGUCGUCAACUUCUUUUCUCGGAGAAGAAACAAUGACGGUAUCUGAGGAAUAAGCAUCGGCUAACUCUGUGCCAGCAGCCGCGGUAAGACAGAGGAUGCAAGCGUUAUCCGGAAUGAUUGGGCGUAAAGCGUCUGUAGGUGGCUUUUCAAGUCCGCCGUCAAAUCCCAGGGCUCA
rnacentral:ncRNA from 1 species